GGGACGACAAGGGAUGCGAAAUCAAGCUCCUUCCAUUGUAUAAGUAUCCAAACCUUUACGUUCCCCAAACCCCAUUAUAUAUACAUAUGUAUAUAUAUCUUUCUCUCUCGCCUUGCCUUCUUCACCAUUGAUUCAACCAACGUCCUGCUCAAGCUUUUAGCUUCUGAUGACAUUGUGAUUUAUACCGAGCGUCGCAAAUUGUGCAACUUUUUGGCUUCUGGCUGGCUGCUUUUGCUUGAAGGCUGCUAGCUGGUUGCUUUCAGAUAAAAUUCCUUUAGCAGCGAUUGUUGAUAUCAUUCACUUUGGAACUGCAACGUUUUCUUCAUUAAAAUGUCGCUCUUGUCAAAGUUGCGAUGUAUCACCAUAGAUGUUACUGGUACAUUGUUAGCUUACAAAGGGGAGCUAGGUGAUUACUAUUGCAUGGCAGCCAAAUCCGUGGGGCUGCCAUGCCCUGAUUACAAACGCGUGCAUGAGGGCUUUAAACUUGCUUACAAGGAGAUGGCAAAAAACUACCCGUGUUUCGGGUAUGCAGCAAAAAUGCCUAACAUCGUUUGGUGGAAAACUUGUGUUAGAGAUUCUUUUAUCAGGGCUGGAUAUGAUUAUGAUGAGGAGACUUUUGAGAAGGUAUUUAGACGUAUAUAUGCAUCUUUUGGUUCAUCUGCUCCUUAUAAGGUGUUUGAAGAUUCCCAACCAUUUCUUAGAUGGGUGCGUGAGCAAGGUCUUAUGGUUGGCAUCGUGAGUAAUGCAGAGUACCGGUACCAGGAUGUAAUCCUUCCAGCUUUAGGCUUAAAUCAGGGAUCGGAAUGGGACUUCGGUGUAUUCUCCGGUCUAGAGGGUGUAGAGAAACCAGAUCCUCGAAUCUACGAGAUUGCGAUCGAGAGGGCUGGAAAUAUAGCACCAGAAGAAGCUCUGCACAUUGGAGACAGCUUGCGAAAAGAUUAUAUUCCUGCAAAGAGAGUGGGAAUGCAUGGUCUGUUAUUGGAUAGAUUUAAGACAUCAGAUGCUGAGGAAUGGAGGAAAUCUGGGGCAGUGGUGCUUCCUGAUCUGGUAGCUGCUCGAGACUGGCUUCAGAAUAACUGAUUUGUUGUUAUGUUCAAAACUUAAAAUAUGGGUCUUCAAAGUCAUCUGUUAUAACUUAUAAGGUUUCUCUUCUUAUAAAGCAAAAAAAAAUUAAAAAAUGUAAUGUUAAUUUACAUAUGUAAGGAUUUUACUUCAGCGAAUAUGCUUGAAAUCAUGCAUCCAAGUGGUUGAGGCAAUAACAAAGUUGGCAAGAAAUUG
rnacentral:misc_RNA from 1 species